rfam:Oryza sativa (indica cultivar-group) chromosome 11, whole genome shotgun sequence.
AAAGAGUGCAGUUUUACACAGUUUAUAUCAAACGUUUGACCGUCCGUCUUAUUUAAAAAAUCUUUUAUGAUUAGUAUUUUUAUUGUUAUUAGAUGAUAAAAUAUGAAUAGUAUUUUAUGUGUGACUAUCUUUUUAUAAAUUUUUCAAAUAAGAUAGACGGUCAAACGUUAGACACAAAACUCACAACUGCAGUUAAA